GGACGUAGCUCAGUUGGUAGAGCGCAACCUUGCCAAGGUUGAGGUCGCGAGUUCGAACCUCGUCGUCCGCUCG
rnacentral:tRNA from 1 species